AAAACACGUGGUAUAGUAGUUUUUGUUUCCUGUUUUACAAUUUUUUGCUUUUUUGUUUUAU
rnacentral:ribozyme from 16 species